ACCCCAGCCAAUCCUCCCGAAGCCAGUGAUUAUAUCUUCCGCAGAGGGAAGCGAUACGUGAGGCCCUACUACUUUGAGUUCAUCUCCCACGUUAAGAACAGGUGGGCCGGCAAGACUAUUGUGGAUCUCUUUGCGGAGGAGUUCAAAGGCGCCCUUAUGACUAUUAUGUA